CAUCAGGGUUUGGAUUGAGCAUUUUCUGAUCAACGGCCAUCUUGUUUUGUGGAAGACCUCGGCUGAUAAACGAAGAAAGAGAUUUUUGUGACAACUUUGCACAACAGUUUGGAGAUGUUAUCACAUCACAAAAAGACCCAUGGCUGCUGGAUUAAUAUGCAUUUGAGGAGAUAUGAAAGGUGAUUCCAAAGCAAUACGUACAUAUAUGAGGAAAAACAGACAACUUGGAGAAGGAAACUGAGGUUACUCUUCAACACACUGCAGUUCUCCAUGGCAUUCCUGUCCUGCUUGGGCACAACACGGAGAGGAAAGGUCUUGCAUGUUUAUUUUCAUGUUUUCUCUUGAUUCAGCUAUUGUGUUUACUUGAUGACACAAGCUGACAUUGCAAUAUAUGUCAAAGGAGUUAGACAGUAUGAGCAAAUGUUUGUGUUACUAUGUAAGUUAAAGUAUAUUGAGUGUGCGUUCUUUUGUUUUAAUGUGCUCAGGGAAUAUUCUUCUUCUCAAAUGCUCUUUUGUUGGUUUUGAUUGCUUCUAUUGUCCUCAUUUGUAAGUCACUUUGGAUAAAAGCGUCUGCUAAAUGUAAAUGUACUCUUAACAUUUAAUUUGGGAUUUUUUUCUGAUU